GUAGAAAACACCACGGCAGCAAAGA
rnacentral:piRNA from 1 species